UUAUAAUUCAAGACAGCGGAA
ensembl:piRNA 21ur-3662 ncRNA